rnacentral:tRNA from 1 species
GGGGAUGUAGCUCACUGGCAGAGCACUUGCCUAGCAUGUACAAGGCCCUGGGAUUGAUCCCCAGCAUCUUGG